AGUGAGGGCACGGGGUCAGCAGGUGGGGGAGCCCCACCCCAUCCCUCCUCCUCCCUCCCCAGCCAUUGUGACUCGGGUCUGCCCCACCUCUCCAUAGUGUUUGCCAAGCACGUGCUGUCGGGCACCCAUGAGACCCAGCGAGCACCUCCUAUGAGCCGGGCACUGUGCUGCGUCCCCGUGUGGCCUCUCACUGUCACAAACUUCCUAGGCCCAUCCUAUUCAUUACUAUUCUCUUUUGUAAACAAGGAAACUGAGGCCCAGGAGGCUCAGACACCCUGCCUGGGCCAAGGGACGGGUCUUCUCCUUACCUUGGAAGGAGGUGAUGAUGCUGAAAAGGUAGAGGACGACAAGCUGGAAGGUGCCAGAAGCAAAGGAGAAGAAGAUCAAGGCCCAGGGCAGGCCAAGGACCAGGCUGA
rnacentral:lncRNA from 1 species